GACGAACGCUGGCGGCGUGCUUAACACAUGCAAGUCGAACGGAAAGGCCCUGCUUUUGUGGGGUGCUCGAGUGGCGAACGGGUGAGUAACACGUGAGUAACCUGCCCUUGACUUUGGGAUAACUUCAGGAAACUGGGGCUAAUACCGGAUAGGAGCUCCUGCUGCAUGGUGGGGGUUGGAAAGUUUCGGCGGUUGGGGAUGGACUCGCGGCUUAUCAGCUUGUUGGUGGGGUAGUGGCUUACCGAGGCUUUGACGGGUAGCCGGCCUGAGAGGGUGACCGGCCACAUUGGGACUGAGAUACGGCCCAGACUCCUACGGGAGGCAGCAGUGGGGAAUAUUGCACAAUGGGCGGAAGCCUGAUGCAGCAACGCCGCGUGCGGGAUGACGGCCUUCGGGUUGUAAACCGCUUUCGCCUGUGACGAAGCGUGAGUGACGGUAAUGGGUAAAGAAGCACCGGCUAACUACGUGCCAGCAGCCGCGGUGAUGCGUAGGGUGCGAGCGUUGUCCGGAUUUAUUGGGCGUAAAGGGCUCGUAGGUGGUUGAUCGCGUCGGAAGUGUAAUCUUGGGGCUUAACCCUGAGCGUGCUUUCGAUACGGGUUGACUUGAGGAAGGUAGGGGAGAAUGGAAUUCCUGGUGGAGCGGUGGAAUGCGCAGAUAUCAGGAGGAACACCAGUGGCGAAGGCGGUUCUCUGGGCCUUUCCUGACGCUGAGGAGCGAAAGCGUGGGGAGCGAACAGGCUUAGAUACCCUGGUAGUCCACGCUGUAAACGGUGGGUACUAGGUGUGGGGUCCAUUCCACGGGUUCCGUGCCGUAGCUAACGCUUUAAGUACCCCGCCUGGGGAGUACGGCCGCAAGGCUAAAACUCAAAGGAAUUGACGGGGCCCCGCACAAGCGGCGGAGCAUGCGGAUUAAUUCGAUGCAACGCGUAGAACCUUACCUGGGUUUGACAUGGAUCGGGAGUGCUCAGAGAUGGGUGUGCCUCUUUUGGGGUCGGUUCACAGGUGGUGCAUGCCUGUCGUCAGCUCGUGUCGUGAGAUGUUGGGUUAAGUCCCGCAACGAGCGCAACCCUUGUUCACUGUUGCCAGCACGUUAUGGUGGGGACUCAGUGGAGACCGCCGGGGUCAACUCGGAGGAAGGUGGGGAUGACGUCAAGUCAUCAUGCCCCUUAUGUCCAGGGCUUCACGCAUGCUACAAUGGCUGGUACAGAGAGUGGCGAGCCUGUGAGGGUGAGCGAAUCUCGGAAAGCCGGUCUCAGUUCGGAUUGGGGUCUGCAACUCGACCUCAUGAAGUCGGAGUCGCUAGUAAUCGCAGAUCAGCAACGCUGCGGUGAAUACGUUCCCGGG
rnacentral:rRNA from 1 species